AUCAAAAAUAUCUGGCUGUGUCGUCCACGUUGGCACCCCCCUGUCCAAGGCCCAUCUGGAAUCAGAUAUUGCACUUUUUCUCUUCUUUCCUCAAAUUUUUUAACCACCCGCAAAUUUUUUCUCAGAACCGACUUCUAAAACAAUGGGGGAAGAGGUUGCGAUGACUGCUCACGAUCCCAACGCCAACAACAACCAUGACGAUUAUAACGCCGACGAAGAGAGAAUACUCGAGUGGGAGCUUGGCUUACCUAACGCCAACGAUCUAACUCCGUUAUCUCAGUCGUUAAUUCCGCUCGAACUCAUGACGGCCUUCAGUAUCUCUCCGAUGCAACACCGUUCCCUCGUUGACGUGAAUCGAGCGUCUCAGAACACACUGUCGUCGCUACGUGGCAGCCAAUCCCACGCUCUCUCCUCCACGAGCAACAACAUCAAGUCCUGCACCGAAACGCGGGACCCGACGUUUCUGGAACCCGACGAGACCGACCAAAACGAGUCGGGAUCCGACUCUCGAAAAUCGCGUAAACUGGACUCUAUGGAGGAGGCCGACUCGGCUUUGAGGACGGAUAAUUCGAAUAACAACGAGGAUCCGUCCGUGCGGACGCUGAAACGGCCGCGUUUAGUUUGGACACCGCAGCUUCACAAGCGUUUCGUGGACGUGGUGGGCCACCUUGGGAUCAAUAACGCGGUACCGAAGACAAUCAUGCAGUUGAUGAACGUUGAAGGCCUGACACGCGAGAACGUGGCGAGUCAUUUGCAGAAGUAUCGGUUAUAUUUGAAACGGAUGCAAGGUUCGUCGAAUGACGACCCGUCAUCGGCGGACCAUCAAUUGUUCGCCUCGACGCCGGUUAUACCGCAGUGUUUACAUUACGAGAGCGGUGAAAAUAAUCAUAAUAAUAACAAUAAUAGUAAUAAUAAUGGUAAUGGACACGUGGCGGUUCCGAUGCCAGGGUCUUAUGGUGUGCCACCGGCUUUGAUGUCGAUGCCUUUUUACGGGAUGAUGAACCAGGGGUUUCACCAACAGGGGCAUGGGUUCGACCAGAGCAUGUAUAAUAUGAGCAUGAAUAUGAAUAUGAAUAUCGGGAUGCGUAAUAUGAUACAGCAGAGGGAUUGGUCUGUGAAUAAGCAGGGGGCGGUAAUGUCGGAUCCCCAUCGUUUGGCGCCUUCUAGUGAUAAAUGAAAGAACAUGAAAUUUUUGUUGGUGCCUUGAAUAGAGUUAUGUUGAGCUGGGAUAUAUGCAAUGCUGAUUGGAGAUUUGUUGUCACAUUGAAACCUCGUUGUUACAUCCCAUUUAAUCUUCUUCAAUCGCAUAAGUUCACUGACUCCUUGAACCACUGUUUGGAACUCUACUUCAGUAAUGGACCUUGCCACCACAUUUUGUAAAGAUUAAAUUCUUGGGCUACUUGGUUUGAGGUUAAAUUUUGUUGGAAGUGGCUGGGUACUGGAUUCCAAAUUCUUAUAUAGCCUAGAGACAAUAAAGGACAUAUUCUGAACAUGGUAUGUAUGGAUCAGGCAAAGCUAUAAACUUUCUGCAGUUUCAGUACAUGUCUUCUUGAAUUUACCAGACGGUGCGCUAGGGUUCUGCCUUGCUAUUUAAGGUCCACCAGUAUGACAACAAGCUAUAAUAGCUGCCAGGGUUUUAUGUACCUUAGCAAAUAUUGUUGGAGCUGCUUCUGGGCCAUUUUCCUUUUAAGCUCUGUCAGUUUUGAAGCAAUUACUGAUUCAAAGUGAUUAUUGCAAUUCUGCAAUGGUGGCCAGGUCUCUGAGGUCCAUAUGGAGCAUUUGAAAGAGCUUAUGAAAUCUACAAAUUAACAAAGUUUGAUAUUUAUUCUGCAAAUAUGGAAUUAGUUUAGAAAAUCCUGUGUAAGAAAUUUUCAUCCAAAACUCCACUUGGAAAUUCAUGAAACUCCAAAGUGGGAUUGUUUGAUUGUGAACUUUAUAGCGCAAUGAAUACUAAAAUAUAACUCAUGUAAUUUCUGAAACAUUUGUGCUUUUGGUGAUGCAAUAAUUCUUUUGGUAGUGGA